AGGUGUGAUCAUACCAGCACUAAUGCACCGUAUCCCAUCGCAGUUAAGCGUGCUUGGGCGAGAGUAGUACUAGGAUGGGUGACCUCCUGGGAAGUCGUCGUGUUGCACCUC
rnacentral:rRNA from 2 species